rnacentral:rRNA from 1 species
GACGAACGCUGGCGGCGUGCUUAACACAUGCAAGUCGUACGGUAAGGCGCUUUCCGGGGUAGUCGAGUGGCGAACGGGGGGGUAACACGUGUGUAACCUGCCUAAAACUUUGGGAUAACGCUGAGAAACUCGUGCUAAUGCUGGUUAUACGCGACUGCUUCAGGGUGGGGGUUGGUAAGCCUCGGCGGGUGUGUGUGGACGCGCGGGCUGGCAGCUUGUUGGUGGGGUAGUGUCGGACGGUGGCGGCGACGGGUAGCCGGCCUGGGAGGGUGACCGGCCACAUUCGGACUGAGAUACGGCCCAGGCUCGUACGGGAGGCAGAGGUGGGGAAGAAUGCACAAGGGGCGACAGCCUGAUGCAGAAAGGCGGCGUGCGGGAUGACGGCCUUCGGGUUGGAAACCGCUUUCAGCCGGGACGAAGCUUGUUGUGACGGUACCUGCAGAAGAAGCACCGGCUAACUACGUG